GUGAGGAAUUUUCCGCAAUGGGCGAAAGCCUGACGGAGCAAUGCCGCGUGAAGGAUGAAGGCCUAUGGGUUGUAAACUUCUUUUCUCAGAAAAGAAUUAUGACGGUAUCUGAGGAAUAAGCAUCGGCUAACUCUGUGCCAGCAGCCGCGGUAAGACAGAGGAUGCAAGCGUUAUCCGGAAUGAUUGGGCGUAAAGCGUCUGUAGGUUGUUUAAAAAGUAUUCUGUCAAAGAUUAGGGCUUAACCCUAGAUAGGCAGAAUAAACUUUUAAGAUAGAGUUUGGUAGAGGCAGAGGGAAUUCCCGGUGGAGCGGUGAAAUGCGUAGAUAUCGGGAGGAACACCAAAGGCGAAGGCACUCUGCUGGGCCAAUACUAACACUGAGAGACGAAAGCGAGGGGAGCAAAUGGGAUUAGAAACCCUGGUAGUCC
rnacentral:rRNA from 1 species